rnacentral:rRNA from 2 species
GACGAGGGGUCCUAGCGUUGUUCGGAAUCACUGGGCGUAAAGCGUAUGUAGGCGGACUUUUAAGUCGGGUGUGAAAUCCCAUGGCUCAACCAUGGAAUUGCAUUCGAAACUGGAAGCCUUGAGUGUGGGAGAGAUUGGUAGAAUACCUGGUGUAGUGGUGAAAUACGUAGAUAUCAGGUGGAAUACCGGCGGCGAAGGCGGCCAAUUGGCCCAACACUGACGCUGAGAUACGAAAGCGUGGGGAUCAAACAGG